GUAACACAGUGGUAGAGCAAUUGCCUAGCAUGGGGUGGUGGUGGUGCUGAAUUCAAUUCCCAGUAAUGAGAAAAGAGAAAUUAUGGUUUGAAUGAGAAAUGUCCCCAUAGGCUCAAGUAUUUGAACACUUUGCCCCACUUGAUGGCACUGUUUGGGGAGGACUUGGAACCUUGAGGGUGGUGUGGCCUUGCUGGAGGAAGUAUGCCACUGGGGGAGGGUUCUGAGAGAUUAAAUCCUGGAACCACUUAACUUCAUGUUCUUUGCUUCAUUUUUACUGUUGAAGAUGUGAGCUCUCAGCCUCCUCCCCAGCCACCAUGCCUGCCUGAUGCCAUGCCUCCCCAGCCAUGAUGGACUCUUAUCUUCUGGAACCAUCUUUUCUCCUAGCCUGUGGCAAAGUGCUUCCUGUGGCAAAGCGAGAACUGGGCCCGGGUAUGCGGCUUCCUCUUACCCCUCUAAGACGUUUA